AUGGAGGUCGUGACCGGGGCGAUGAGCACCCUCCUCCCCAUGCUCGGCAUCCUGCUCAAGGAGGAGUACAACCUACAGAAGAAGACCAGGGGGGAGAUCAAGUUCCUCAAAGCAGAGCUUGAGAGCAUGGAGGCUGCCCUCAUCAAGAUCUCGGAGGCGCCGCUGGACCAGCCACCUGACAUCCAGGUCAAGCUCUGGGCAAGGGAUGUCAGGGACCUGUCCUAUGAGAUUGACGACAGCGUCGACAGAUUCCGGGUGCGCCUUGAGUGUCGGCAACAAAAGAUGCCACACAGCUUUAUGGAUUUCAUCCAUAGAAGCAUGGACAUGAUGACAAAGGGCAAGAUCCGACACAAAAUAGGCAUGGACAUCAAAGACAUCAAGAACCGCAUCAAGGAGGUCAGUGAGAGGCGUGAAAGGUACAAGAUUGACAGCGUUGUUGUACCCAAGCCCACCGGCACAAGUACUGAUACCCUUCGUCAGUUAGCCUUGUUCAAAAAGGCAACGGAGCUUAUUGGCACCGAAGAGAAGAGCCUUGAAAUAGUCAAGAUGCUGGCGGAGGGAGACGAGGUGUCCCAGAAACAGCCGAAGAUGAUCUCUAUUGUUGGCUUUGGAGGCUUAGGGAAGACAACUCUUGCUAACGUGGUGUAUGAGAAGCUUCGUGGAGAAUUUGAUUGUGGGGCUUUCGUUUCCGUGUCUCUUAAUCCUAACAUGAAGAAGCUUUUCAAGAGUUUGCUGCAUCAACUUGACAAGGGAAAGCACAGUAACAUCAUGGACGAGUCAGCAUGGAGCGAAACACAACUCAUUAAUGAGAUAAGAGAAUUCCUCCGAAACAAGAGGUACUUCAUUGUCAUUGAUGACAUAUGGGAUAAAUCUGUGUGGACAAGUAUUAGAUGUGCUCUGAUUGAGAAUGAAUGUGAUAGCAGAGUAAUCACAACAACUCGCAUUAUGGAUGUUGCUAAAGAAGUUGGUGGUGUUUAUCAGCUUAAACCUCUUUCUAGCAGUGACUCAAGACAAUUAUUCUAUCAAAGAAUAUUUGGAAUUGGCGACAAGCGUCCUCCUAUUCAGUUGGCUAAAGUAAGUGAGAAAAUUUUAGGGAAAUGUGGCGGAGUACCAUUAGCUAUCAUUACACUGGCUAGUAUGUUGGCUAGUAAAAAGGAACAUGAAAAUACAUAUACGUAUUGGUACAAGGUGUACCAAUCUAUGGGUUCUGGGCUAGAAAAUAAUCCUGGCCUGAUGGACAUGAGGAGGAUACUAUUUGUCAGUUACUAUGACCUACCUCCAAAUCUGAAGACUUGUUUACUGUAUCUCAGUUUGUAUCCAGAGGAUUAUGAUAUUAAAACCAAACAGUUGAUAUGGAAAUGGAUAGGUGAAGGAUUCAUUCAUGAAGAGCAGGGGAAGAGCUUGUAUGAAGUAGGAGAGGAUUACAUUGCUGAGCUCAUUAACAAAAGCUUGGUCCAACCAAUGGAUAUCAAUAUUGCUAAUAAGGCGAGCUCUGUCCGUGUACAUGACAUGGUGCUUGACCUUAUCACUUCCUUGUCAAAUGAGGAGAACUUUCUCGUUACAUUGGGUGGUCAGCAUACCAGGUCACUGCCAGGUAAGAUCCGUCGACUGUCUCUCCAAACCAGUAAUGAAGAGGAUGUCCAGCCAAUGCCAACCAUGAGCAGCUUGUCCCAUGUGAGAUCACUUACUGUGUUCAGUAAAGACCUCAGUUUAUUGUCAGCACUUUCAGGUUUUCUUGUCCUACGUGCAUUGGAUUUAAGUGGUUGUACUGACGUGGGUAAUCAUCAUUUGAAGGAUAUUUGCAAUUUAUUUCACCUGAGGUAUCUGAGUCUACAAGGGACAUCUAUCACUGAGGUCCCGAAAGAGAUGAGCAAUCUACAGCUUCUGCAAGUGCUAGACAUAAGGUCCCCCAUGAAAAAAUUGCCAUCAACCUUUGUUCAGCUAAGACAGCUGGUGUUCGUUGACAUGGGUAUUAAUAUGGUCUCUACAUUGCUUCUAAAAGCAAUGUCCACCUUGCCCUCCCUCUCUUCCCUUGCAAUCACAUUAAGAGAACUGAGAGAGGAAGACCUCCAAAUACUUGGUAGCAUGCCAUCUCUGCGUGAUCUCUCUCUAUUUGUAGUGUAUCAGGGAAAAGUCACAUAUAAAAGGCUAGUCAUUGGCAAUGGUUGUCCCUUCCAGUCUCUGACAAGGUUCAGUAUAAAGAGUAUAGAAGCCACUGUCUUCAUGUUUGCACAGGGAACCUUGCAAAAGCUCCAAAUCCUGGAGUUAGAUUUGUAUGUUGAGAAAACAAAACACCAAUUUGGUGAUUUUCAGUUUGGGCUAGAGAACCUGUCUUCGGUUGAGCAUGUCUAUGUGGUUGCUCGUAGUGGUGGUAGUGAGGAUGAACUGACCAAUGCACUUGAGAAAGAGCUUGAUAUUAAUCCCAACAAGCCCAUACUGACGGUGAAGCAGGUGGGCGAGUGUUUGGCCUCUGACUUGUUGCUAAGUUUAAACUGGGCACUUGGUCCCGAAGUGCUGUCCAUAGAAGAGGAAUAA
rnacentral:rRNA from 1 species